AUGCGCAGACGCAUGGCCACAGACUGCCGGAUGCCGAAGGACCUGUUCAAAGUAUUUUCUGUAACUCCAACUGUAACUUGGUUCUAGGAGGAGAGAAUCCAUGUUUGGUCAACAGAACUUUUCGCCGCCACUUAAGUUUACUGCUUCAAUAUCUUUUCCUUACUAAUUGAUUGUUAAUUAAGUAGUGUCCAAGUGAGUUAGCCUUUUUAGGGUUGAUUAAUUA
rnacentral:lncRNA from 1 species